rnacentral:tRNA from 1 species
CCGCCCAGCUCAGUGGUCUAGAGGUUAAGCGUUCGAGCGCGAGACUGAUAGGUCGUGGGUUCGAAUCCCACGAGGCG